GACAACUCCAGUGUGCUCCUAAAAGAAAAGAUGGUUUUCUUUUGUCCGGUGAAACUUUAUUAUUGAGAGAAAAUACGGAAUUUAUUUGCAUUGAUGUGAUUAUUUAGUUUUUGCAUAGUAGUGCUACUAGUAUAUUCGAAACUUUUAAAUAACUACUAAAAAUGGAGAAACAGUAUUCUGUGAAAUUCUUUGCUUCAUUUUUGGAAGCGUUACAAAAAGUUUGUCGAGAUUUUGUCGACUUUGAUGACAGUAUAGAGCUUAGUGGUUACCUUUCGCUGGAGAUAGACAAUGUGAAGAAGGAGCGGUACGUGCUCAGUGAGAUGUUGAACAGCUCGGGCAAUGUGAUCAGUGAGAGCUACUGCACAAAGGCCUUCAAAACGGUCAGGAAGUAUCAGCAGCCAAGUGGUAGAGAAAACAUCACUCCAAGAUCACAGACAAUUUCAAACCGGUCUCAAGCUUUUAUUUCUGAAUCCCAAAACCAAAACUCUUCUAGUUCCAUGUUUAACUAUAAAGAUCACACGCCAGAUUCGAGAAUGUCGAAACAGUGGAGUCAGGACAUGUACGGAACAAAUUCCCAUAUGUCUCCACUUCGUGGGUCAGGGCAGCAGUUUGGAGAUGGUGUAGGAAUUCAUGGCAUGAAAAGUUCAAAUCAGAAGCGAAGUUUGUCAACUAUUGUCAUAGACGAUCCACCUUCAAAUAAAAGAGGAAGAAGUGAUUCCGUGCCUGAUGACAAACUGUUAAGUGAAACGUCAUCUCAACACGGCACGUGUAAGCUGGAUACAGACGCCAUGCAGGCCACGUUUUCCAAUUCAUCCCAGUCUCAGUCCACGACUCACCUUCCGACCACAAGCUCCUCAUUACAGCACCAAACCAACAACAGCAUAGCAUCUCACAGCUCCUCGCAGCCAGCUUCAGAAAGCAUUCGCUUACCACUACCAGUGACAAUAAAAGACGAACCCGACAUUCCGUGUGUAGACAUUGACUUGUCCGAGUUGGACAGUGCAGACUCUAUGGGUGGCAGUGAUAGUGGUUCAGGUUAUCCGUCACAAGAGGGCACCUCGGGCCCAUACAGAAUGGCAGAAGGCAGCCAUGGGGCACAUGAUCAGUAUCAGACUUCACCGAUCACCAUCCAUCGUUACGGCAAGAGACCUUCCAUUGCAAUGCAGAAUGCAUUUAUUGCUGUUCAAGAAGGCCUACUAACUGUGUCUGCAGCAGCCAGAGUCUUCAAUAUCACCCAGCAGUCCCUGCAUCACAGAGUUAAAAAGCUUGGUCUAUUACCGACUGUAAAGCGUGGUUAUCAGCAUGCACUGACAGGGGAUAAGAAGUUGAGACUGGAACAGUUACUUACAGAAUGUGAUAUUGAAGGAAAAAACAUGUGAUUCAGUUUGGUCAUUUAUCAGUUGUAAAGUGUGGUUAUCUGCAAUGACAGGGAAUGAUGAAUUGAGCUGUUUCUUGCAGAAUAUGAUAUUGAAGGAAACAAAACAUAAUUCAUUUGUCUUUAACCAGUUGUAAAGCGCGGUUAUCUGCAUGUCAGGAGAUGACAAGUCUCUUGAAGAAUGUGAUAUAGUAAAACCUGUCUAAACCGGAUCAUGCCAGGGACCUAAUAUUUAUCUGAAUCCAAUGUUUAGAGGGUCACCUUUUAGAAUUUGGAAAAUGUGGAACCAUGAUACCUGGCCGGUUUUGACAGGAUUCCGGUUAGUUCAGAGUCCAGUUUAGACAAGUUUCACUAUUCUAAGGAAAACCCCACAUGAUUCAUUUUUCUCUGUUACCAAGUGUAAAGCAAGUUGAGACUGGAACAGUUGCUUGAAGAUUAUGAUAUUAAAGGAAAAAACCACGAUUCAUUUUGUUCUUUUACAGCAAAUUAAGACUGAAACAGUUGCUUGAAGAUUCUGAUUUUAAAGAAAAAACACAAGAUUCAUUUUGCUCUCUUACCAACUGUAAAGCAUGGUUAUAAGCAUGCAUUGACAGGGGAUGACAAGUUGAGACUGGACCAGUUGCUUGCAAAAUGUGAUGCCAAAGGAAAAAACAUGAUUCAUUUUAAUUCCCAAACACCUGUACAUGGACAUCAGCAAUAAGGUUAAACCAUCAUGGUCAUUGCUGUACAGUAUCGUCCAAAGAUAGACAUUUCAUACAACUAAAGAGACAUUCACAAAUAGCUGUAGAUGGUGACAUGACCAACAUCAACCAGUUUCAGCACACCUCCAGUGGAUGGUGGUCUGCAUUCCAGCAAGUGACUGUAUAUUUUCAGUACGUUGUUAUCUGCUGAGGUGCAGACUCAAGCUUUCAGAAGCUAAAACUGGCUUGCUAUGACUUGAUGGUCUUCCUCAUCUAAAACAGUUGAGUAGUGUUAGGUAAGUGACAUGACGUCCUUGUUGCCAAAUGCAGCUAGUACUGCUCUAUCAGUCAGCCAGAUCUUAUAGUUGAACACCUUAAAGUAGCUCAAGGGAGGCUGGUGGAAGACUUCAAAUCUGAAGGGGAAAAAAGUACAAUAUUAUAUUUACUUAUUUAUUACAUUGUAUGAUGAAACAUCUAAAACUACAUACACAUAUUUAUAAACUUAUAUAACUAAAACAAAUUAUAACGUUUCAUGCACAA
rnacentral:misc_RNA from 1 species